rnacentral:misc_RNA from 1 species
CACGUAGGGGGCAAGCGUUGUCCGGAUUUAUUGGGCGUAAAGAGCUCGUAGGCGGUUGUGUAAGUCGGAUGUGAAAACUCAGGGCUCAACCCUGAGAUGCCAUCCGAUACUGCGCUGACUAGAGUCCGGUAGGGGAGCAUGGAAUUCCUGGUGUAGCGGUGAAAUGCGCAGAUAUCAGGAGGAACACCAGUGGCGAAGGCGGUGCUCUGGGCCGGAACUGACGCUGAGGAGCGAAAGCAUGGGUAGCAAACAGG